rnacentral:rRNA from 1 species
CAGUAGCCACGGUAAUACGUAGGGUGCAAGCGUUAAUCGGAAUUACUGGGCGUAAAGCGUGCGCAGGCGGUUUGUUAAGACAGAUGUGAAAUCCCCGGGCUCAACCUGGGAACUGCAUUUGUGACUGGCAAGCUAGAGUAUGGCAGAGGGGGGUGGAAUUCCGCGUGUAGCAGUGAAAUGCGUAGAUAUGCGGAGGAACACCGAUGGCGAAGGCAGCCCCCUGGGCCAAUACUGACGCUCAUGCACGAAAGCGUGGGGAGCAAACAGGAUUAGAUACCCGAGUAGUCCCUGUCUCUUAUAC